rnacentral:rRNA from 1 species
GACGAACGCUGGCGGCGUGCUUAACACAUGCAAGUCGAACGGAAAGGCCCUGCUUUUGUGGGGUGCUCGAGUGGCGAACGGGUGAGUAACACGUGAGUAACCUGCCCUUGACUUUGGGAUAACUUCAGGAAACUGGGGCUAAUACCGGAUAGGAGCUCCUGCUGCAUGGUGGGGGUUGGAAAGUUUCGGCGGUUGGGGAUGGACUCGCGGCUUAUCAGCUUGUUGGUGGGGUAGUGGCUUACCAAGGCUUUGACGGGUAGCCGGCCUGAGAGGGUGACCGGCCACAUUGGGACUGAGAUACGGCCCAGACUCCUACGGGAGGCAGCAGUGGGGAAUAUUGCACAAUGGGCGGAAGCCUGAUGCAGCAACGCCGCGUGCGGGAUGACGGCCUUCGGGUUGUAAACCGCUUUCGCCUGUGACGAAGCGUGAGUGACGGCAAUGGGUGAAGAAGCACCGGCUAACUACGUG